rnacentral:rRNA from 1 species
AUUGAACGCUGGCGGCAGGCCUAACACAUGCAAGUCGAGCGAGCGGCGGACGGGUGAGUAAUGUAUGGGGACUGCCCGAUAGAAGGGGAUAACUACUGGAAACGGUGGCUAAUACCGCAUACUUUCGGAUCCCCCCUAUGGGCUUCGCUAGUAGGUAAGGUAAUGGCUUACCUAGGCGACGAACCCUAGCUGGUCUGAGAGGAUGAUCAGCAACACUGGGACUGAGACACGGCCCAGACUCCUACGGAGGCAGCAGUGGGGAAUAUUGCACAAUGGGCGCAAGCCUGAUGCAGCCAUGCCGCGUGUAUGAAGAAGGCCCUAGGGUUGUAAAGUACUUUCAGUCGGGAGGCGUUACCGACAGAAGAAGCACCGGCUAACUCCGUACCAGCAGCCGCGGUAAUAC